AGAGAGAAGGAGGGAGGAUGGGGAAAGAGAAGGAGGUGGGGGGAGGGAGGAUGGAAAAGAGGGGGUGGGGAGAGAGAAAAUAAUAAGGUUGUAUGAUGAGAAAAUAUUAUUGCUGCAUGAUUGAUGAAGUUCCCCAAUAAAUACCCCAAAUAUCAAACAUUAUUGUGAUUCAAGACCUGAAACCUUGUAAGUAAACACAGCCAAGGAGAAGAGAAAGAAAGUGCCUGUAGUUAGUGCUCGAAGGUGGGUGCCUGUAGUUGUUAGUGCUUGAAGGUGUGUGCCUGUAGUUGUUAGUGCUUGAAGUUGUGUGCAUGUAGUUGUUAGUGCUUGAAGUUGUGUGCCUGUAGUUGUUAGUGCUUGAAGGUGUGUGCCUGUAGUUGUUAGUGCUUGAAGGUGUGUGCCUGUAGUUGUUAGUGCUUGAAGGUGUGUGCCUGUAGUUGUUAGUGCUUGAAGGUGUGUGCCUGUAGUUGUUAGUGCUUGAAGGUGUGUGCCUGUAGUUGUUAGUGCUUGAAGGUGUGUGCCUGUAGUUGUUAGUGCUUGAAGGUGUGUGCCUGUAGUUGUUAGUGCUUGAAGGUGCGUGCCUGUAGUUGUUAGUGCUUGAAGGUGUGUGCCUGUAGUUGUUAGUGCUUGAAGGUGGGUGCCUGUAGUUGUUAGUGCUUGAAGGUGUGUGCCUGUAGUUGUUAGUGCUUGAAGGUGUGUGCCUGUAGUUGUUAGUGCUUGAAGGUGUGUGCCUGUAGUUGUUAGUGCUUGAAGGUGUGUGCCUGUAGUUGUUAGUGCUUGAAGGUGUGUGCCUGUAGUUGUUAGUGCUUGAAGGUGUGUGCCUGUAGUUGUUAGUGCUUGAAGGUGUGUGCAUGUAGUUGUU